rnacentral:rRNA from 1 species
AUUGAACGCUGGCGGCAGGCCUAACACAUGCAAGUCGAACGAGUGGCGGACGGGUGAGGAAUGUCUGGGAAACUGCCUGAUGGAGGGGGAUAACUACUGGAAACGGUAGCUAAUACCGCAUACCAUCGGAUGUGCCCAGAUGUGAUUAGCUAGUAGGUGGGGUAAAGGCUCACCGAGGCGACGAUCCCUAGCUGGUCUGAGAGGAUGACCAGCCACACUGGAACUGGGACCCGGUCCAGACUCCUACGGUAGGCAGCAGUGGGUAAUAUUGCACAAUGGGCGCAAGCCUGAUGCAGCCCUGCCGCGUGUCUGAAGAAGGCCUUCGGUUUGUAAAGUACUUUCAGCGGGGAGGCGUUACCCGCAGAAGAAGCACCGGCUAACUCCGUGCCAGCAGCCGCGGUAAUUC